rnacentral:rRNA from 1 species
CAUGGCGUACUGCUCAGUAACACGUGGAUAACCUGCCCUUGGGACCGGGAUAACCCCGGGAAACUGGGGAUAAUACCGGAUAACGCAUAUCUGCUGGAAUGCUUUAUGCGUAAAAUGGAUUUGUCUGCCCAAGGAUGGGUCUGCGGCCUAUCAGGUAGUAGUGGGUGUAAUGUACCUACUAGCCUACGACGGGUACGGGUUGUGAGAGCAAGAGCCCGGAGAUGGAUUCUGAGACAUGAAUCCAGGCCCUACGGGGCGCAGCAGGCGCGAAAACUUUACAAUGCGGGAAACCGUGAUAAGGGGACACCGAGUGCCAGCAUCAUAUGUUGGCUGUCCAGAUGUGUAAAAUACAUCUGUUAGCAAGGGCCGGGCAAGACCGGUGCCAGCCGCCGCGGUAACACCGGCGGCCCGAGUGGUGAUCGUGAUUAUUGGGUCUAAAGGGUCCGUAGCCGGUUUGGUCAGUCCUCCGGGAAAUCUGACGGCUCAACCGUUAGGCUUUCGGUGGAUACUGCCAGACUUGGAACCGGGAGAGGUAAGAGGUACUACAGGGGUAGGAGUGAAAUCUUGUAAUCCCUGUGAGACCACCUGUGGCGAAGGCGUCUUACCAGAACGGGUUCGACGGUGAGGGACGAAAGCUGGGGGCACGAACCGGAUUAGAUACCCGGGUAGUCCCAGCCGUAAACGAUGCUCGCUAGGUGUCAGGCAUGGCGCGACCGUGUCUGGUGCCGCAGGGAAGCCGUGAAGCGAGCCACCUGGGAAGUACGGCCGCAAGGCUGAAACUUAAAGGAAUUGGCGGGGGAGC